GACCAGUGUCCCCCCACAUGCCCAGAAACAUGGUGUCUGUGGGAACUCCUGAGAAGGAGAAUCAUCAGUGCUGCUGACUGGUAAACAAAAGCAAGUUACACCUCUAGGGCUCAGGAAAAGAAGAUGGAAUCCAUCCUACUCGGAGAGCAUCCUAUGCACUCCAGGCACUGCUGAAGGGAGACGUGCCCAAAAGAAGGCCGUGUCCAGGCAGAAGAGGCUCAAACGUUUAGAAGAUAUUUGGGGGCCUCUGCCCCCAAAUCUGUCUCCACCUCAGAAAGUUUCAGCAGCAUCCUCCAGACAAA